GAUGAACGCUAGCGGCAGGCUUAAUACAUGCAAGUCGAGGGGUAGCAUGAAUGUAGCAAUACAUUUGAUGGCGACCGGCAAACGGGUGCGGAACACGUACACAACCUUCCUAUAAGUGGGGAAUAGCCCAGAGAAAUUUGGAUUAAUACCCCGUAACAUAAUGAUGUGGCAUCACAUUAUUAUUAUAGCUACGGCGCUUAUUGAUGGGUGUGCGGCUGAUUAGAUAGUUGGCGGGGUAACGGCCCACCAAGUCUACGAUCAGUAGCUGAUGUGAGAGCAUGAUCAGCCACACGGGCACUGAGACACGGGCCCGACUCCUACGGGAGGCAGCAGUAAGGAAGAUUGGUCAAUGGACGCAAGUCUGAACCAGCCAUGCCGCGUGAAGGAUUAAGGUCCUCUGGAUUGUAAACUUCUUUUAUCUGGGACGAAAAAAGGCGAUUCUUCGUCACUUGACGGUACCAGAUGAAUAAGCACCGGCUAACUCCGUGCCAGCCGCCGCCGUAAUAC
rnacentral:rRNA from 1 species